UUCUGUCCAUUUCUUCCGGCCUAGACAAUUUCGUACGGCUGUAUAUCACGAGAUUCUUCUUGGAUAUCUCGAUUACGCAAAGCAACUUGGUUACACUAUGGCUCACAUUUGGGCAUGUCCACCUUCCGAAGGGGAUGAUUACAUCUUUCACUGCCAUCCUGCAGAACAGAAAA